AAUCGCCUAGCGCGCCUGCGGGCCAGCGAUACGUCCGCAUACGCUGCCUGCUGUGAAAGCGACCCACUUAGCUUGGCGCAGAGAAAAAGGAACAGGGACAAGGAGGUCUAUCGACCUGCUGCUCGCUGAACCGAUGCAGGCUCCCCAGUCGCUGUACCAACACUCAGCGCUUCUGCGUGCCACCUUGAGAGCACCACCAGCGAUCCCGCCUCUCCUUCGCCGUCAUCGCCUUCAGACUCUUUCGGUUCCGUGGCGAUGGAAUCGCGACUACAAUUCAAGGCCGUCCGAUGCAAGUGCGCAUCAGUCACCGGCACAGGAGGACAUGCUUGUUCGCAUGUUGAUACAGGAUGCCUUUCACCCCGCAUCUACAUCUUCGCUCGCUAAGAGCUGCGAGGAUGUGGCGGGUGGCGACGAACAAUCGCACAGCACAACUGCCGGCACGGAGAGCAGAAGCUGCCGCCCCUCACAAUGCGACACUCCUGCCACCGAAGGAGGAGGCGCGGGCGACACACUCGGCACGGAGGUACAGGCUUUGGGCGGCGGGCGCCCGCAACCGCCUCCUGGCGCGGCGCCUCGUUCAGGGAUGUCAGCACACGUGCAAGAUGGUCUCGGGGGCCGAGAGAUUUCCGGGUCGCCUGUGCGGGUCGAUGAAGCAGCCGCAUUCGUGACCGAUUCGCGGGCGCCAAAUGCAGCGGCGGAGCCGUUUGCCACCAUCCGUCGAGGGAAGCGCGGCGAUUACCUGCUGCGUGCGCUGGAGUGGUUAUGCUGUGCCUGCCACACGUACAACUCACUGACCUCGUCUUCUGCGACGUGCCGCAAGUGUGAGGCGCCAGCGGUGACCUCGUACCGGUCUGCGUUCCCGCCGUUGCGCCACGUCGCCAUCGCGCCCACUGCGUGGGUAUGCCAGAACUGCUCUCACACCAAUCGUCAAACCGGCGCUUCCGCGCAGCCACACGCAGACCGAGCCGGUGUCGCCAGGGCGCAGCGGGAAAAGUUCAUUUGCGACCAGUGUCGCGCGCCUUUCGGCGGUGUCCAGGAUUGGGUGUGCCCAGCCUGCGACCAUUUCUGCCCUCGAGCAGCGACGCAAUGCCCUUCAUGCUUCGCGGACCGUCCAUUGGCGUGGACGUGCCAUUGCUGCGACGCAGGCGUACAAAACAGCGUGUUUGCGGUGAAGUGCCGUGGCUGCGGUCGUGAGCGACGGCAGAGGUACUCGAACUCUGUUGUGCGAUGCACGGCUUGUCGCGGCUGGAAUGACGUCCGGUGGGAGCUUUGCGCCGCCUGCAUGGCACCCACGGAAUCCCUUCUGCUAGCGAGGGAAAAGCGCCCCGGCGCGGAGGAGGCGACCCUGCCUACGCCGCCGCUUUCAGAGAGCGCACUUGGUGACACCACCAACGUGGCCCUUGCUGCUGACUCUGCAGGGAUGCUGCACUCGAAGACCGUCGCCCAGGCGACCGAGCUCUUGGAAGCCGCGCGUACUUCAGGGACUGCAGCGACAGCGAGGGGGUUGCGCCAUGACACUCAAGAGCCAUCCUCGCUCUCUCCAUCGCCACCAUUCUCACCGGUGCACGCGGACGAUAAACAGCCUCAGGUGGCGGUGAAACUUCCCGACAACGCGUGGUGGUGCUUCACCUGCAACGUGGCGCAUCGCCGCAACGUCACCUUCUGCGACAUUUGCCUCGAGUCACGCGAUGCCAUGCGGCUCAGGAACAAGAAAGAGCUCGCUGUGAUGCCGGCCUCCGCCAGUUCGCCGAGCACCGAUGUGACGUCGCCCGCCGUCUCCAGCGAUCCUGCGGCGCUCAAGGACGUAGUUGAUGUGAUGAUUAUGCCAGCAACUGCUGAGGGAGACUGGCAGUGCCCAUAUUGCCGGAAGCUGCUGCGCGUGACGCAGCACCAGUGCUGCGGACACAGACGGGAGGUCCCCUACGGGUAUUGGCUGUGUGAUCACUGCUGCAGCACCAACCGAAACGACCGUAGUUUGUGCCUGGGGUGCAAUGAGCGACGGGAGAAUGUUUGUCCGUGGACAUGCCAGGAGUGCGAGUGGGGUAACGAUGCCGCAAACGCAGUGUGUUUGCAGUGCGGCCUACCACGCACACCGUGCGAGACGGCGGAGAGAGGUACCACUGUCUCGGACGACAGCGCGCUGAGCACGAGCAUCUCAUGCGCUGUGUGCAGCGCCCCGAACCACUUUGAGAAGACUGCGUGCUACCGCUGCCGCGCUCGUCUGCGUGAUGUGGAGUGGACGUGCGAUGCCUGUGGCCACGGCCACCGCACUCGAAACGCGUUGCGCUGCGAAGGGUGCCGCGCGAUACGGCAAUUCGACCUGCAGGAAGAGGUGUGGCUGUGCGAGGUGUGCACAACACCCGUCUUUUCGGGAGGCGAAAUCCCUGUCCGCACGCACUGCCCCAAGUGCAACGCACAACGGGCACCAACGGCGACACAUUAUCCAUCCAGGUGGAAGUGCGAGUGUGGUCUUUUUAAUCGCUCGCGUGUGACGGAGUGCCCCGAGUGCGGUGCACGACGACGUCUGGAGUCACUUAGCACAACGGCGACGUGUCCGAGGUGCUUUCGUGAUACGCCGAUAGACAUCCAGGAGAAGUGUACGUAUUGCAGUGCAUCCUUGGGAGACUGCUUUUCGAGAUGGGAGAGCAACAUCACCCUCUUGGCGGACACUCCUGAGUUGGCAGAGGCAUGCGAUGAGUCAGAGGCAGAUGAAGUUCCUGACGACAGCGAUGACGACGUCGUCACAGCUUAGCGGCUGCGACACUGAGGAGCAAGAAACCCAAACCGGUUCUCACUAAGGUUCCCGUGCGGGGUCAUUUGUGUUGUGAUGUUUUCUUUUCCUUUUUUCGGGGGGGGUCCGGGGUGGGUGGAGGGGGGAUAAGAGAACAACGCUGGCAUUGUGUGGGCGUGCGUUUUUCAUGCCUUUGUUGUUUCUAGCCCCAUAUUGACUGCUGAACUCCCCGUUCCCUUCCUCGUGUCUGACUCUCUUUCACCCACUGUCAUGCGCGGGUGAGCCUCUUCACUGUCUGCGCCGGCAGUGUGCGCAGGUCACACUACUUAGCGCAUGCGCGCAUACACACGCGCACACACGUAAGUGAAAGGUGUGUGUAUGUGUGUCUGGGGGGGGGGCGGGCUGCGGGUGGGAGGGGGGUGGAAAUUUGGUAGAGGCCAGGGGUGUCGGCUUAUCGGACCACGCCUGUUUCUCCCAUCCCAUUCAAUUGUCACGCCCUUGUGGUUGAAGCCGUUUCCUUCUUCCCCGAGCACACGAUUAGUCACCCUUGGCUGCCAACCGGCUCUUCACAGACACACGCGCUCGCAUGAAGUAAAGAAAAACAACGAAAACAGGAGUGACGGCCCAAGUGCUGAUGGAAAAAAAAAGCUGCUGGUUGUCAUACGUUUAGAAGAGCAGGUGGUACAUGCAGCAUUCCCGCGUGCCGAUUCCCUCAUAGUGCACCUGCAACUCUACUCACCCUUACCUCGAUGCCAUUGAAUGCUAUCACAACACACCCUCUGUCCUCCUUUUAUCUCCGUUGCUCACGUUGUUGUUUGUCGCCUUCUGUACGUUUAG
rnacentral:misc_RNA from 1 species